AAACCCAGCCAGAUGGGUGGGGUAUAAAUAAUAAUAAUAAUAAUAAUAAUAAUAAUAAUAAUAAUAAUUUAUUAUUUGUACCCCGCCCAUCCGGCUGGGUUU